rnacentral:rRNA from 1 species
CCUACGGGGUGCAGCAGUGGGGAAUAUUGCACAAUGGGGGAAACCCUGAUGCAGCGACGCCGCGUGAGUGAAGAAGUAAUUCGUUAUGUAAAGCUCUAUCAGCAGGGAAGACAAUGACGGUACCUGAGUAAGAAGCCCCGGCUAACUACGUGCCAGCAGCCGCGGUAAUACGUAGGGGGCAAGCGUCAUCCGGAUUUACUGGGUGGAAAGGGAGCGUAGACGGCAGUGCAAGUCUGGAGUGAAAGGCGGGGGCUCAACCCCCGGACUGCUCUGGAAACUGUACGGCUGGAGUGCAGGAGAGGUAAGUGGAAUUCCUAGUGUAGCGGUGAAAUGCGUAGAUAUUAGGAGGAACACCAGUGGCGAAGGCGGCUUACUGGACUGUAACUGACGUUGAGGCUCGAAAGCGUGGGGAGCAAACAGGAUUAGAUACCCUAGUAGUC